CCCCAGGUCCCUAUCAAGAUGCAAGUCAAACACUGGCCCUCAGAGCAGGACCCAGAGAAGGCCUGGGGCGCCCGUGUGGUGGAGCCUCCGGAGAAGGACGACCAGCUGGUGGUGCUGUUCCCUGUCCAGAAGCCGAAACUCUUGACCACCGAGGAGAAGCCACGAGGCACCAAGGCCUGGAUGGAGACCGAGGACACCCUGGGCCAUGUCCUGAGUCCCGAGCCCGACCAUGACAGCCUGUACCACCCUCCGCCUGAGGAGGACCAGGGCGAGGAGAGGCCCCGGUUGUGGGUGAUGCCAAAUCACCAGGUGCUCCUGGGACCGGAGGAAGACCAAGACCACAUCUACCACCCCCAGUAGGGCUCCAGGGGCCAUCACUGCCCCCGCCCUGUCCCAAGGCCCAGGCUGUUGGGACUGGGACCCUCCCUACCCUGCCCCAGCUAGACAAAUAAACCCCAGCAGGCCGGG
rnacentral:lncRNA from 1 species